AACGAACGCUGGCGGCAGGCCUAACACAUGCAAGUCGAACGCCCUGGCAACAGGGAGUGGCAGACGGGUGAGUAACGCGUGGGAACGUGCCCUUCGGUUCGGAAUAACUCAGGGAAACUUGAGCUAAUACCGGAUACGUGCGAGAGCAGAAAGAUUUAUCGCCGAAGGAUCGGCCCGCGUCCGAUUAGCUAGUUGGUGAGGUAACGGCUCACCAAGGCGACGAUCGGUAGCUGGUCUGAGAGGAUGAUCAGCCACACUGGGACUGAGACACGGCCCAGACUCCUACGGGAGGCAGCAGUGGGGAAUAUUGGACAAUGGGCGCAAGCCUGAUCCAGCCAUGCCGCGUGAGUGAUGAAGGCCCUAGGGUUGUAAAGCUCUUUCGCCAGGGGCGAUAUGACGGUACCUGGAUAAGAAGCCCCGGCUAACUUCGUGCCAGCAGCCGCGGUAA
rnacentral:rRNA from 1 species